GGGCUGGUGAUUUUGACCGGCUGCCUAGUUGCAUGUAAAGCAGUUGGACCAAUUGUCCUCUGUAUCUUUGAAACCUGAAUUCAAGGCCAGGGCUGAACUGUAACCUUAAUUUACUGCUGAGAGAGGCUGCACAAUGCCAGAGAGAAAUGCAGUCCCCAAAUACCUUUGUAUUGCAGAUGUAUAAGUCCAUAACCAGAUGUCAUGACUUGAGUCUCCCUCAGUGGGAGUGAGAGGGAGCUCUGCAAUCCAACCAGAAAAAAACAUACGAAACGUAAAUGCAGCCAACUGGUCACUGAUUACAUCAAAGUGAGUUAGAGAGAUGCUGAUCAGAGAGUUCUGUCUAGAAAGCAUACUUCAAACAGCUAUUCGUUUCUUGUCUGAUCUCUAGUCACUUUCUAAAUCAUUAUAGUUUACAAAAAAAUUUCAAAGCUUCUUUUUGAAGUGUUAAUUGAAAUGUACAGGGCAACAUUUUCAGCAGUGAGUGGUUUGCAAAGUUUGAAACUGUAUCUGUCACCCUGUUUUUGCUUGGUGGCUUGUAAAAGGGCAGAUAAUUGACCACUGAAUUGAAAAAGAAAAGGAAAGAAGCAAAACUGAAAUGUGGUGGGAUUGCCAGAGCUGGGGUCAGUUCCUAGGUGACAUGAGAAAGUCACUUCAGUCUGGUGCAAGUACUGGAGGCUUUUUGGGGUGGUAAGUGCGAGAUCAGUUUAUAAGAAAUGAUAUUAGAAAGUAUGGUUAUCAAAGCUUUUGUUAAGUGUAAUGGCUUGUGGAAGGCUAACCCAUAUAAAAUAUUCCUUAAGGUAUUACUUAAUUAGAGCUUUAUGUUAUAUUCCUGAACUUGUGUCCUAAAUGUCUCACUGAAUCACUCUGGAGUUACUCAAAAGCCAGUUGUUUCAGCAAUUGACUGAUGCUGGGGAAAUGUGAAUUUUCAAUAUACCCAAUGCUGGUUUUUAAUAGGCAUAAUUUUAAUCAGAACUGCUCCUAAUUUCUUAGCUCACAAACUGGGAUCCUGAACCUAACUGGAUAAAAAUAAGUUAUUUCUAUAAGAAGAAGACCAGACUUUAAAGAUAAACCGUGAAAAAUCUUGUCUUAGUAAGUUAAAGCAAUCCACGGAUUUUUUCCUACUCUUUUUUUUUUCUUUUUUUCUUUUUUUGAGAUUGUAAUUGAAAAAGAAAAAGAAACUAAUUGCAACUGUUUGUGCAAGAUCCUGGGAGUACCCAGCUGACUGACCCAUCCACUUAUUUAUAAAUUAAAACUAAAGGAGCACAAGAUACUUUGAAAGUUAACAGUCUUUAAAUAUUGAGUAUUUUCUCUAUACAAUCAUAUUGUCUCUGUUUUCCAGCAGUUUUCUGAAAAA